GACAGAGGGGGCAAGCGUUGUCCGGAUUUAUUGGGCGUAAAGAGCGUGUAGGCGGCCAGGUAGGUCUGGUGUGAAAACUCGAGGCUUAACCUCGAGAUGUCAUCGGAAACCAUUUGGCUAGAGUCCGGAAGAGGAGAGUGGAAUUCCUGGUGUAGCGGUGAAAUGCGCAGAUAUCAGGAAGAACACCAAUGGCGAAAGCAGCUCUCUGGGACGGUACUGACGCUGAGACGCGAAAGCGUGGGGGAGCGAACAGG
rnacentral:rRNA from 1 species